GAUCAAAAUUUAUUUAUUAUUUUAUUUUGCUUUUAAAUUAAUAUAUUAAAAAUAAUUAUAUAGUUAAGUGUUUUAGUAAUUUUUAAUGAAAAAAUAAUAUUAAUAAUAGUGGAUUAGUAUUGUGAAAGAUAAUUGAAAUAUUUUGAAAAAUUUUUGUGUUAAAAGAAAAUUUAAUUUAUUGUACCUUGUGUAUCAGGGUUUAUCAAAUAAUUAAUAUAUAUAUUAUUAAUCUCGAUUUUAUAAGAGUUAAUAGUUUAUUAAAGUUAAUGUGUCAAAAUUAUUUUAAAUAAACUAUUAGAAAUGAAAUGUUAUUCGUUUAUAAAGGUAUCUAGUUUUUUUAGAAAUAAAUUUAAUUUACAAAUUUUUGAUUUUUUAGUUAUUUAUUUAAUUGAAAAAUUUAUUUAUUUGAAUAUUUUAAGGGAUAAGCUUUAAAAUAAAUUAUUAAAAAUUAAUAGUGGUAAUAUAAAAUGUAUGCUUAGAAUUAGCAAUCAUUAUAAAGUUUGUUAUAAAUUAUUUUAUAAAUUAUAUUAUUUAUUAUAUUUUAAUUUAUUUAUAAAAAUUUUUUUAUGAAUUAUAUAUAAAAAGGAAUAAUGAUAGAAUUAGUAUAUUUUUUUGUUUAUGUAAUUUUAUAUGAUAAGUUUAUAUAAAGAACUCGGCAAAGAUUUUACCCGCCUGUUUAACAAAAACAUGUCUUUUUGAGUUAUUUUUAAAGUCUGACCUGCCCACUGAAGUUAUUUAAAUGGCCGCAGUAUUCUAACUGUGCAAAGGUAGCAUAAUCAUUAGUCUUUUAAUUGAAGGCUGGUAUGAACGGUUGGACGAGGUAUAAGCUGUUUCAUAUAAAUUUAUAAUAGAAUUUUAUAUUUUAGUCAAAAAGCUAAAAUUUAAUUAAAAGACGAGAAGACCCUAUAAAUCUUUAUACUUUACAUUGUUUAAAUUUUUUAGAUUAAUUUUAUUUUUAUAAUUUAAAGUAUUUUGUUGGGGUGAUAUUAAAAUUUAAUGAACUUUUAAUUAUUUAAAAUCAUUAAUUUAUGAGUUAUUGAUCCAUUAGUAGUGAUUAUAAGAUUAAGUUACUUUAGGGAUAACAGCGUAAUUUUUUUGGAGAGUUCAUAUCGAUAAAAAAGUUUGCGACCUCGAUGUUGGAUUAAGAUAUAUUUUUAGGUGUAGCCGCUUAAAUGUGAAGUCUGUUCGACUUUUAAAUUCUUACAUGAUCUGAGUUCAGACCGGCGUAAGCCAGGUUGGUUUCUAUCUUUAAUAUAUUAUAAUAUCUUAGUACGAAAGGACCAGGUAUUAGAAUAAUAAUAUUUUAUAUUAAGAAUAUGAUUAAUAUAUUAUACACUAUUUUGGCAGAUUAGUGCAAUAAAUUUAG
rnacentral:rRNA from 1 species